AUUGCUUCCCCAAAGGCAGCUGGUUUUCAUAGCCAGAGUUGGCCUGAGACAAGGCUCCUUAAUUGCACAUUUUUCUCCUCCAUCUGUCCGUGUAUCUGCCUGUAGCUGUUGCCAGAGCGUUUCAUAUUUGAAUAUGCAUGCAGAUCACCUGGGGAGCGUGAGUAUGUGCAGGUUUGGACUCAGCAGGCCUGGGUGGGGAUGAGACCCGCAUUCUGGCUAAGCAACCAGGUGCUGGCCCAGGUGCUGGCCCAAGUGGCACUUGGCUGCAUGCAGCAAACUUUAUAGGAGCGUGGCCUGUUGCUGCGCACACACCUAAACCAAUGCUGCCGGCCUGCGGUGGAGGGAGUAAACCUGCCUCUUGUCCCGUUGGGGGGUCCUGCCCGUGCCCCACUACGCGGCCCAGUGUGAACACAAGACCUUGCACGCACACAGAAAAGGGCCCCAUCGAUGACUGUUGAAUGAAUCAAAACAAAUGGAGCGAGAAAAGCUCUGAACUUGGGGACCGGACUGUACCCAGAAGCCGCGAGACCUUGACCAGGUCAAUAUGCAUUUAUUCAGCUCUCUUAUUGGAAAUGAUAUGAAAAGUAUUACUGAGCCCAAAGAAUAAAGAAAAUAGCAGAUAAAAUGCAAGGAAAGGAAGAAAUGUAAUGAGCGAAUAAAUAUGUUCAUUCAUGAAUAAAAAUUUAUUCAUGAAUAAAUAAAUCCAUUCAUCCAACAAAUGAACUUACAGAGUCCUUAUUUUUACCAUGCAUUGCACUGGUGCCUGAACUUGAAGAGCACCAAGGAGGGGCUCCCCUGAUGUGUGUAGGCUGAAUGAAUGUUUCUGCUUAAAAGAAAGUUGGAUCCAGUGCUAAAGACCAAGAAAGAGAACUUCCUUGUUUUAUCAGUGACUCUUGUGACCCCUGACUUCCUUCUGAUGCACGCCACCUGCCCUUCCUUCCACCCGCCCACCACCCACUCUCCCAUUCAUCCAUCCUGCAUCCUGCUCUGAAUCCGCCUUGUUUUCCUGGCACUCUGCUGGUAGUUGGAGCUGUGGAGAUAGAAAGGGUAAACUACAAGGUCUCCAGGAACACACAAUCCCUGCUGUAAGAGAGGAUUCUAAGGCAAAAAGAGAAGGAACUGACACAUCCCAAAUAUAAAAAACAGAAUUAGCAGCGUUCCAGAGAGAGGGGUUUAGCAUUUAUGAACCUAGCGCUGUCCCACACCAAAACCAGGGUGAGCAAUAAUCAAUGCCACAAGUACGUCCUUGGGGUUCUGAGGCAGACUCCUGGGAGGUGGGGACAGUUCCCUCCCAGGGUAACAGCGGGUGGGGGCCCUGAGGCAGAA